AAAUUGACGGGGUCCGCACAAGCGGUGGAGCAUGUGGUUUAAUCGAAGCAACGCGAAGAACCUUACCAGGUCUUGACAUCCCGAUGCUAUUUCUAGAGAUAGAAAGUUACUUCGGUACAUCGGUGACAGGUGGUGCAUGGUUGUCGUCAGCUCGUGUCGUGAGAUGUUGGGUUAAGUCCCGCAACGAGCGCAACCCCUAUUGUUAGUUGCCAUCAUUCAGUUGGGCACUCUAGCGAGACUGCCGGUAAUAAACCGGAGGAAGGUGGGAUGACGUCAAAUCAUCAUGCCCCUUAUGACCUGGGCUACACACGUGCUACAAUGGUUGGUACAACGAGUUGCGAGUCGGUGACGGCGAGCUAAUCUCUUAAAGCCAAUCUCAGUUCGGAUUGUAGGCUGCAACUCGCCUACAUGAAGUCGGAAUCGCUAGUAAUCGUGGAUCAGAAUGUCACGGUGAAUACGUUCCCGGGUCUU
rnacentral:rRNA from 1 species